UGGAGAGUUUGAUCCUGGCUCAGAACGAACGCUGGCGGCAUGCCUAAUACAUGCAAGUCGAACGAGAUCUUCGGAUCUAGUGGCGCACGGGUGCGUAACGCGUGGGAAUCUGCCCUUGGGUUCGGAAUAACUUCUGGAAACGGAAGCUAAUACCGGAUGAUGACGAAAGUCCAAAGAUUUAUCGCCCAGGGAUGAGCCCGCGUAGGAUUAGCUAGUUGGUGGGGUAAAGGCCUACCAAGGCGACGAUCCUUAGCUGGUCUGAGAGGAUGAUCAGCCACACUGGGACUGAGACACGGCCCAGACUCCUACGGGAGGCAGCAGUAGGGAAUAUUGGACAAUGGGCGMAAGCCUGAUCCAGCAAUGCCGCGUGAGUGAUGAAGGCCUUAGGGUUGUAAAGCUCUUUUACCCGAGAUGAUAAUGACAGUAUCGGGAGAAUAAGCUCCGGCUAACUCCGUGCCAGCAGCCGCGGUA
rnacentral:rRNA from 1 species